rnacentral:rRNA from 1 species
GUAAACAAUUUAAUCUAAUAUGUGGAUGACUUGGCUUGUGUAGCGAUGAAGGGCGUGGUAAGCUACGAUAAUCGCAAGGUAGGAGCAUACUUCCUUUGAACUUGCGGUUCCUGAAUUGGACUACCUAAUUAUUCGCUAAGCGAAGGCGUCACUUGGGGAACUGAAACAUCUUAGUACCCAAAGGAAAAGAAAUCAAUUGAGAUUCUGUUAGUAACGGCGAGUGAAAGCAGAACAGGUCAAACUGAAUCAAAAUUAGUAAUAAUUUUGAGAUGUGGUGUUUGGAGCUUCUUUUAGGCCUAUUUAGUUAGGGUGAAUAUCUUGGAAAAUUUAACCUUAGAGGGUGAUAGUCCCGUAACUUUAACUAAUUAGGUCUUUGGAGAUUUCCAGAGUAUUGUCUAUUGGAAAUUAGGCAAGAAUGUGGGGGGCACUAACCUCCAAACCUAAAUAUAACACAAGACCGAUAGCGAACAGUACCGUGAGGGAAUGUUGAAAAGCAGCCUUAAUAGGUUGUGAAAAGAUCUGAAACAUAUUAGAGAUAGGAUGAUGCGGCUUUAAGGAGUUGCAUCGUACGUUCUGAAUAACGGGCCAGGGAGUUGAUUUUUAUGGCGAGACGAAAGUCGAAGGGAAACCGAGUUGCCGCAAUUUUUGAGGGCAAGGGUGUUAAUAGCGCCUAAGUCAUAGGAAUCAAACCCGAAACUAGAUGAUCUAUACCUGGACAGGUUGAAGCGGAGGUAAAACUUCGUGGAGGACCGAAGCGUAACAGCGUCUAUUUGUUCGCGUGAUCUGGGUAUAGGGGUGAAAAGCCAAUCGAAUCUAGUGAUAGCUGGUUCCAGUCAAAAUUGGCCUUAGUCAAGUCUCUGUAGAGAAGGUUAUCAAGGUAGAGCUACUGAUUAGUGUUUUGGGGGACUUCGUGUCCUUCAUGCAUUAGUCAAACUCCGAAUUUGAUAACUUCGUAGAAGCAGGGAAACGGGUCUGCGUGGGGUAAACUUGCAGACCGUGAGGGGAACAACCCAGACUAUAGUUAAGGCCCCUAAAUGUCAAUUAAGUGAUAAAGGGUAAAGGGUGUGAGUAUUCGAAGACAAAGAGGAGGUUUGCUUAGAAGCAGCAAUCCUUUAAAGAGUGCGUAACAGCUCACUCUUCGAGAGUACUUGCCCCGAAAAUAAUCGGGUCUAAAUUGACUGCCGAUACUAUAGUUCAUGAGCACGGCUCAUGUAAGGUAGACUGGUGACGCGCAAGGGUAGAAGCUAGCUUUCAAGAGCUGGUGGACCUUGUGGGUAUAAGAAUCCUGGCGGUAGUAGGAAAUUAGCGGUGUGAGAGUCACCGUGGACGAAAGGGCAAGGGUUCCUUCUCAAUGUAAAUCAGAGAAGGGUUAGUCAUUCCUAAUCUUCAUCCUAAUUGGACUUGAAGAGAAAGGGAAACAGGUUAAUAUUCCUGUACUAUUUGGAUAGACGUGGCAACACAACUAUUAUUUUGGACGCUUUGGGCUAGUUGCACCUAAGCUUGCUUAGGCUAAGAAGUAUAAAACUAUGGAGUGUGGUAAUCACGAGAAGUAGUUUAAACUUCGAAUGGUAAUUUGCGAUGAUGCCUAGAGCCCUUGAAAACAAAAUAAUAGCGAUUCCAAAUAAAUGUACCCACAACCGGCACAGGUGCCCCUAGGUGUGAAACCUAAGUCCUGUAAGGUUAAUCUUCGUAAGGGAAUUCGGCAAAUUAGCCACAAAUCUUCGGUAUAAGUGGUCCCUGAACUAUUUAAUUAUUGGGUAGCUUCAGGGUGCAAUAGCAAAGACGGUCCGACUGUUUAAUUAAAACAUAGCCAGCUGCUAGUCAGUAAUGAUGUGUAUAGCUGGUGAAGUCUGCCCACUGCCAGUAACUAAAACCCUCUUUCAAGGGGGCCAAGGUCUGGUAAAGGGCGGGGAUAACUAUGAUCCUCUUAAGGUAGCGAAAUGCCUUGCCGUUUAAAUGACGGCUUGCAUGAAUGGCGUAACGAGAUUGUCACUGUCCCUACGAAGAGCCUUCUGAACACACUUUCCCGGUGCAAAAGCCGGGGACUCCAAGUGGGAAGUAAAGACCCCGUUGAACUUUACUGCAGCCUGCCAUUGUGAAUAAUCUUAUAAUGUAACAAGGAGCUUCGGCGCCAAGGAAGAACUUGUCGUUAUAAGGUUAUUUGCUUAUCUCUAUAUGAGAAACAGUGGUUGGUGGGCAGUUUGGCUGGGGUGGCACCCUGCUGAAAUGGUAUCAGCAGGGCCCAAAGGUCGGCUCAGUUGGGUUAGAAAUCCAAUGUAGAGUGUAAGAGCAAAAGCCGGCUUUAUUCUGAUUCCCAUAAUGCGAAUCGGAAUUGAGAAAUCAUGGUCUAACGAUCUCCAAUGUGCUCCUUAGUGGGGCCUUGGAUUGACAGAAAAGUUACCACGGGGAUAACAGAGUUGUCGCUCCUGAGAGUUCAUAUCGACGGAGCGGUUUGCUACAUCGAUGUCGGCUCAUCCUAACCUGGUAGUGCAGAAGCUACCAAAGGUGGGGGUGUUCACCCAUUAAAAGGGUUCGUGAGCUGGGUUUACAACGCUGUGAGGCAGUUGGUAUAAUAUCUGCUUGGAGUGUUGGUAUCUGAGAGAAAGUCGCGUUUAGUACGAAAGGAACGACGGGUCGGAGCCUCUGGUCUAUCUGUUGUCCAUAUGGGCAUGCAGAGCAGCUACGCUCUAGAGGAUAAAGGCUGAAAGCAUCUAAGCCUGAAACCUCCCUCUAAAAAAGAUACCUUGUUUGCUUGUAGAAGACAAGUUUGAUAGGAACGGGGUGUAAGUACGAAGCUUUUGCGACGUAUUCAGCCCGCGUUUACUAAAAACAUUUGUUUACUUU